UGGAGCAUGUGGUUUAAUUCGAAGCAACGCGAAGAACCUUACCAGGCCUUGACAUGCAGAGAACUUUCCAGAGAUGGAUUGGUGCCUUCGGGAACUCUGACACAGGUGCUGCAUGGCUGUCGUCAGCUCGUGUCGUGAGAUGUUGAGUUAAGUCCCGUAACGAGCGCAACCCUUGUCCUUAGUUACCAGCACGUUAUGGUGGGCACUCUAAGGAGACUGCCGGUGACAAACCGGAGGAAGGUGGGAAUGACGUCAAGUCAUCAUGGCCCUUACGGCCUGGGCUACACACGUGCUACAAUGGUCGGUACAAAGGGUUGCCAAGCCGCGAGGUGGAGCUAAUCCCAUAAAACCGAUCGUAGUCCGGAUCGCAGUCUGCAACUCGACUGCGUGAAGUCGGAAUCGCUAGUAAUCGUGAAUCAGAAUGUCACGGUGAAUACGUUCCCGGGCCUU
rnacentral:rRNA from 1 species